rnacentral:rRNA from 1 species
AGUGAACGCUGGCGGUAGGCCUAACACAUGCAAGUCGAACGGCAGCACAGUAAGAACUUGCUCUUACGGGAGGAGCGUGGCGGACGGGUGCGGAAUACAUGGGAAUCUACUUUUUAGUGGGGGAUAACGUCGGGAAACUUACGCUGAUACCGCAUAAGACCUACUGGUGAAAGCCGGGGAUCUUCGGGCCUUGCGCGAUAGAAUGAGCCGAUGUUGGUUAAGCAGUUUGGCGGGGUAAAGGAUCACCAAGGCGACGAUCCGUAGCUGGUCUGAGAGGAUGAUCAGCCACAUUGGGACUGAGCCACGGCCCAGACUCCUACAGGAGGCAGCAGUGGGGAAUCUUGCGCAAUGGGCGAAAGCAUGACGCAGCCAUGCCGCGUGAAUGAUGAAGGUCUUAGGAUUGUAAAAUUCUUUCACCGGGGACGGUAAUGACGGUACCCGGAGAAGAAGCACCGGCUAACUUCGUG